GAUGAACGCUGGCGGCGUGCCUAAUACAUGCAAGUCGAGCGAACAGAUGAGGUGCUUGCUCCUCUGACGUUAGCGGCGGACGGGUAAGUAACACGUGGAUAACCUACCUAUAAGACUUAGAUAACUUCGGGAAACCGGAGCUAAUACCAGAUAAUAUAUUGAACCGCAUGGUUCAAUAGUGAAAGACGGUUUUGCUGUCACUUAUCGAUUGAUCCGCGGCUCAUUAGCUAGUUGGUUAGGUAACGGCUUACCAAGGCAGCGAUGCGUAGCCGACGCGAGCGGGUGUUCGGCGACAGUGGGACUGAGACACGAUCCAGAGACCGACGGGAGGCACAAGUAGCGAAUGUAGGGAGAAGGGGGAAAGCUUGACGGAGCAACGGAGGGUGAGUGAUGCAGGUCUGCGGAUGGGAAGACUGUGUUAUGGUUGAAGACCGAAUUUGUAAGUAACGAUGCACGGCGUGACGGUAGUUAAUAAGAAAGCCACGGCUAACUACGUG
rnacentral:rRNA from 1 species